rnacentral:rRNA from 1 species
UACAGAGGUCCCAAGCGUUGUUCGGAUUCACUGGGCGUAAAGGGUGCGUAGGUGGUGAGGUAAGUCGGAUGUGAAAGCUCGGAGCUCAACUCCGAAAUGGCAUUGGAAACUACCUUGCUCGAGGGUUGGAGGGGGGACUGGAAUGCUUGGUGUAGCAGUGAAAUGCGUAGAUAUCAGGAGGAACACCUGUGGUGUAGACAGCUUACUGGACCACUUCUGACGCUGAGACACGAAAGCGUGGGUAGCAAACAGG